AAGACUAUACUUUCAGGGAUCAUUUCUAUAGUUCGUUAAUUAGAUUUGGCCAAAUAAUUUUCCAUGUUAUUAACAGCUUAUUAAGU
rnacentral:snoRNA from 1 species